rnacentral:rRNA from 1 species
AAUGGGGGAUAACGUAGCGAAAGUUACGCUAAUACCGCAUAUGCCCUGAGGGGGAAAGUGGGGGAUCGCAAGACCUCACGUUUUCGGAGCGGCCGAUAUCAGAUUAGCUAGUUGGUGGGGUAAAGGCUCACCAAGGCGACGAUCUGUAGCUGGUCUGAGAGGACGACCAGCCACACUGGGACUGAGACACGGCCCAGACUCCUACGGGAGGCAGCAGUGGGGAAUUUUGGACAAUGGGGGCAACCCUGAUCCAGCCAUGCCGCGUGAGUGAAGAAGGCCUUCGGGUUGUAAAGCUCUUUCGGACAGAAAGAAAUCGCACGGGCUAAUACCUUGUGUGGAUGACGGUACUGUAAGAAGAAGCACCGGCUAACUACGUGCCAGCAGCCGCGGUAAUACGUAGGGUGCGAGCGUUAAUCGGAAUUACUGGGCGUAAAGCGUGCGCAGGCGGUUUAUUAAGACAGAUGUGAAAUCCCCGGGCUUAACCUGGGAACUGCAUUUGUGACUGGUAGGCUAGAGUGUAGCAGAGGGGGGUAGAAUUCCA